UGCCCCAUGGCUGAGUUGGUUACAGCGUCCGACUGUUAUAUAUGAACUUUGCAAAUGUAAUCGGAAGGUCGAGAGUUCGAGCCUCUCUGGGGCAG